rnacentral:tRNA from 1 species
UGCGGGGUCGUCUAACGGUAGGACAGCUCCCUUUGAAGGAGUCAAUCUUGGUUCGAAUCCAAGCCCCGCAG